rnacentral:rRNA from 1 species
AGUGAACGCUGGCGGUAGGCCUAACACAUGCAAGUCGAACGGCAGCACAGUAAGAGCUUGCUCUUACGGGUGGCGAGUGGCGGACGGGUGAGGAAUACAUCGGAAUCUACUUUUUCGUGGGGGAUAACGUAGGGAAACUUACGCUAAUACCGCAUCCGACCUACGGGUGAAAGCAGGGGAUCUUCGGACCUUGCGCGAUUGAAUGAGCCGAUGUCGGAUUAGCUGGUUGGCGGGGUAAAGGCCCACCAAGGCGACGAUCCGUAGCUGGUGUGAGAGGAUGAUCAGCCACACUGGAGCUGAGACACGGUCCAGACUCCUACGGGAGGCAGCAGUGGGGAAUAUUGGACAAUGGGCGCAAGCCUGAUCCAGCCAUACCGCGUGGGUGAAGAAGGCCUUCGGGUUGUAAAGCCCUUUUGUUGGGAAAGAAAAGCAGCAGGUUAAUACCCCGCUGUCCUGACGGUACCCAAAGAAUAAGCACCGGCUAACUUCGUG